rnacentral:rRNA from 1 species
CCUACGGGAGGCAGCAGUGGGGGAUAUUGCACAAUGGGGGAAACCCUGAUGCAGCGACGCCGCGUGGGCGAAGAAGUAUUUCGGUAUGUAAAGUUCUAUCAGCAGGGAAGAAGAAAUGACGGUACCCGAGUAAGAAGCACCGGCUAAAUACGUGCCAGCAGCCGCGGUAAUACGUAUGGUGCAAGCGUUAUCCGGAUUUACUGGGUGUAAAGGGAGCGCAGGCGGCACUGCAAGCCUGAUGUGAAAGCCCGCGGCCCAACCUCGGGACUGCAUUGGGAACCACCGGGCUGGAGUACCGGAGAGGUAGGCGGAAUUCCUAGUGUAGCGGUGAAAUGCGUAGAUAUUAGGAGGAACACCAGUGGCGAAGGCGGCCUACUGGACAGUGACUGACGCUGAGGCUCGAAAGCGUGGGGAGCAAACAGGAUUAGAUACCCGAGUAGUC